UGGGAGGCGGCCCGGGGGCCGGGUGAUGGCCUCAGGGAGGCUGGCGUAUCUGUGGGUGGCCGGCGGGGCAGACCCCGUGGGCACUUCCUGGUCGACUCUGGGUGAUGGGGAAGCCAGCAGGGGUUAGUGAGCAGAGGGGGACAAGGCCUGGGUGGUGUUUGUUCAGUGUCCAGGGGCGCUGCUCGGAGAACUGUCACAUGAAGCGGGUUCCAGGCAGAAAGUGGAGGCAUGAGAAGGCCCAGGAUGGAAGGCACCACGCUGGCUGGACCCGAGACCGACCCUGCGGUCGACCUGAAAGAAGGGUUGUGACUGAGCGGGAAAGGCUGGCUUCACAGUGGUCCUCAGCGUGUCAGACCUACAAAUUCUGAGUCAUUAGGUAGCAAAAGAAAAAGAAAGAACCCAUCUGUUCCUGGUUUUCUGAGAACGUCCGUAUCAGUAAUUGUACACACUCAGAGGGGCUUCAGCUGCGAGCAACCGAAUGUACGACUAAUGGUUCCUUAAAUAAAUGGGCGCUUAUUUUCUGAGAUGCAGUACUUAGGUCUCAACUCUCUGAAAUAGUUUUUUAUCGUUGUGUAUCUUUCAUUCUGAUGACAAAGCAACAUCCCUGCUGGGAACGGGGGCCCCUGGGUUGUGGUCCCUUUCCUCCGCCGUCCCCAGACGCUGUUCCGCCGCCGUGAGCGUCGUCUGUGGUAGGUGAGGUGUCUCACGCUGUCUGAGUGCUUUUCCUUCUUAGUCGAGCCCGGAACGCCACGAGCCCUUGCGCGUGCAGCCGGCAGACCUUCCUCGGCGGGAGGACCCUUCCAGCGCUCAGCUACUGCCUUCCUCCCACUGAUAUCCUUCUCCACUUCUGGGACGUCCAAAGCUCUCGUAUAUUAGGUCUCCGGCUCCAUCCUCCAAGUCAGUCUCGUCUUCCUGUGUUACAUUUGUCCCUUAACCUUCCCACUUCGUCUGUUGAGAUGUUUCUUGUCCUCUUCUCCCAGGGGUACUAAUCGGGGUCUGCACCACGAUCUCUUCUUUAAUCAAUCUGCUGGAUGUUUUAAUGUCGAAUUAUGUUUUUAAGCUUCUGGAACUCUUUCAGUGCUGGGAUUUGGGUCUUUUCCGUGUCCUCAUAAACUCGUGAUGCAGGUGUUUAUCUGGCUUCCAGUAUUCUGUUUCACUUGUCACAUUUUUGGAUGGUUCACUCCGAUAAUCUCCUCUCUGAUGCCCGGAAUCUCACCCUCCCACACGCCAUCCCCAUAGGGGCAGUUUUUUUCCUUUUUUCCUUUGUCGGAAGUCUGGGGCUCAGGUCUGCUGCUGGAAUAGCUUUCAUAUCCAACAGGUAGAAAAAGCAAAGGAAUAGCCCACCCCAUGGCUCUCAGCCCCGCCCCGAGCCCCCCAGAGGAACUCUCUUGGGCCCCCUUACUUCAGGGGUAGAGAAGACUCAAUACACCCAUUCUGUUGUUGCAUGAAACCCUCUUUUCCAACUGGGGGGUCAGCUUCCCGCAGAUCCUUGGUUCUCCCCCUGGGCUCUGAUUCUGCCGCUCCUGACCGCCCAGCUCGUGGGGGACGUCGGGGGUGAGUGUGCCCCCCCAGCUGCCCCAGGCCCCAGCGGUCCACACUCUGCAGAGUUGCUGGAAGAGGCAGGGGGCUCGUUCAGGCCUCAGUGAUCCCUGAGCACCCUCUCAACCUUCCUCUCCGCUGUUGGGAUGAUGUAAAAUUCACUCUCCUUGUAUGAAAUACAAGUGUUUUCCACUUGCUGACCUUUUCCGGGUGACACAUAGCUGACAGUUGUGUGCUAUUUGCAGACUUUUUUGAGAAAUAAACACAGUCUGCCCUUCAAGGUAAAGUUGGUAUCUCAGUCAAGAAUGAGAAAAUA